UUUAACUGGAGUGUGCAAAGUAAUCCCUUUUUCCCCGUGAGUGGCGUAUUCAAUUUCCUUUUAAUUUAUUGUACCGUGAUUGGUUUUGCUGUGAGUGUGAAGUUUUUACGAAAAAAACCGUUCAUCACGCAACCAGACUACAGUUGGCGCUUGAGAUUUCCAGCGAUUUUUGUCGCUUCGUUGGUCAAGUUUCAAACCCCUGGCCUCUGCAAGAAUGCAGAUAAAAAUAAAGAAAAGUAUGGCUGUGAGGUAAUGAUAUGCAGAGGGCGAUUUCAGACGAUGGCUGAGGAGAACCCAUCAGAAAUAGUAUCUUCAACAGGGGAACACUUUCACAGCGUCAAUGUCAAUAAAGUUAGAGAGUUGUCUUUUCUUCUAGAGAAACCAAAGCCUUAGUCAUCAUAAGAAAGAGACUGCGAGAAUUGUGAUUGCGACAGAUGAGGUGUUCGUUGGACUGUUAAUAACAAAGUUUAUCACAAAGUAUUCGUCAGUGGCGACAGCCAAGUGCUCCCGCUGUUCCAUCACAAAGACUGUUUUUAUAACUCUGUAUUGCACUAAAGAGGUUACCAUUUUUGCAAUAUGAUACUGGCAUAUAAGAUGAAAAUGUUAUUUUUUCGCCUCAUCAACUGGGCUGGAUGAUCUUGUUAGAAUGAGUGAUUGUGCUGGUCAUAGCACAUUUAAAAGUUUUCCAUCUGUAUAUUACCAGUUAUUUACAAUCAUCAUUCAAAAAGCUAAUCUGAAUGAACGUAGUGUUUUCGCAUUAACCCAAUAACUUUCGAUCGGUUGUUUUCUUCAGCCUAAAAGGUAUAUGAUGGAUUUCGAAAAGGCCCACAUGAAGAACCUUAUUUCAAGAUUUCCUGACGUAGAGGUGAUUGGUUCAUUUAAUUUUUCUCACAAAACCACUGAAAACUUGUCGAGAGAGGUAAAGGCUAAUAUAUUAAAUAGAUGAAGUAUUUUUCAAAAGAUUGUGUUUUAAAGCGUUUCAAUUUUUACGAGUGACUGAUAUUGCGGACCGUAAAAAAUUUUAAUUUUUACGAGUGACUGAUAUUGCGGACCAUGAACUGACAACGGUUCUUUACCACAAGAGGAAGGUGAUACAGUCUGGCUCUAAUAAUUCUUGUUUCAGUAUGAAAUAUUUCAGUGGACUUAAGCGUGUAUGCCUACUAGAACUAAUAAAUGACUUGCAAAACUCAAUGUCAUGCUAACAUCUGAAUAUUUAAAAAUUAAUAAUGUAUGUAUAUUAAAAAGGAUAUUUUGGCACAGAAAAAGAAAAUUUAUUUGGAACGGUGAAUGCAAAUAACGUCUAUAACAGGUUUACAAAGUGUGCAAUAAACGACUGAUAUAACUACUUGGAAAGUAUGAUCCUUGAUAGUCUUGAUUAAAAACUGUGGCAUAUAAUCUGCACAAGUUUAAUUUCCAGUAAAUUCUUUUUAUAUA